rnacentral:rRNA from 1 species
AAUGAACGCUGGCGGCGUGGAUAAGACAUGCAAGUCGAACGGAGUUAGCAAUAAGCUUGCUUAAGGCAAACUCAGUGGCGAACGGGUGAGUAACACGUGAAUAAUCUGCCUUGAAGUGGGGGAUAGCCCUGGGAAACUAGGAUUAAUACCGCAUGUGGUCGAGAGACUAAAGCAGCAAUGCGCUUCAAGAUGAGUUCGCGCCCUAUUAGCUAGUUGGUGAGGUAACUGCUCACCAAGGCCUUGAUAGGUAGCCGGUCUGAGAGGAUGUCCGGCCACACUGGAACUGAGACACGGUCCAGACACCUACGGGUGGCAGCAGUCGAGAAUCAUUCACAAUGGGGGCAACCCUGAUGGUGCGACGCCGCGUGGGGGAAGAAUGUCUUCGGAUUGUAAACCCCUGUCAUGUGGGAGUAAGCUAGUGAUAGUUGAUAGUACCACAAGAGGAAGAGACGGCAAACUCUGUGCCAGCAGCCGCGGUAACAC